GGCGGAGUAGCUCAGUUGGUAGAGCAGAGGACUCAUAAGCCUCGCGUCGGCGGUUCGAUUCCGUCCUCCGCCA
rfam:Omnitrophica bacterium GWA2_52_8 gwa2_scaffold_10466, whole genome shotgun sequence.